UGUAAAGUUCAAGCUCCGAUUAUGAGGGCGAAACCGCGAAUGGCUCAUUAAAUCAGUCAUAAUCUACUUGAUUGUUUAAAGUUUAUAUGGAUAACUGUGGUAAUUCUAGAGCUAAUACAUGCACAAAUGGGGCGACUCUUUUCACGAGAGAAGCUCUGCGUUUAUUAAACUAAAACCAAUGAUUGCAGCAAUGCAAUCUAUUGUUAAGGUGACUCUGAAUAAAUAAUGGGUGAAAGCCCAUGCUGCUGACCUGACAUACCAAAGGGGCGCAAGCUCCCUCAGGCAAAUCAAUCGAGUGUCUGCUCUAUCAACUGUGGAUGGUAAGAUAAUUGCCUACCAUGGUGAUGACGGGUAACGGGGAAUUAGGGCUCGACUCCGGAAAACAAGCCUGAGAAACGGCUAGUAGGACUAAGGUCUGCAGCAGGCGCGAAACUUACACAAUGCUAGAUUAAAAUUAGCGAUGUAGUGAAGAAAAAUAACGAUGUACUUACACUUAACGUGUUAGUAUAAUUGGAAUGAGACGACUAUAAAUGAGUUAGUCGAGUAACAAAUGGAGGGCAAGUCUGGUGCCAGCAGCCGCGGUAAUUCCAGCUCCAUUAGCAUACAUUAAAGUUGUUGCGGUUAAAAAGCUCGUAGUUGAAUUUUACGCGGGCUCUAUUGGGAUGCAGUCGUUAAGGCUGGCGGAAGGAAGUGACUCGUUCGCGAGUAUCGUCCCCAUCAUGCUGACUGUAUCGCCCAUUAGGAACCCGCUGUUUCGUCACUUCAUUGAGUGCGAAGCGGGCUGGAACAAGGUUUCACUGGUCCGUCCAGUGGCCUGUUACAGCAUGUUUACCUUGAGAAAAUUAGAGUGCUCACAGCAGGCAGUUGGGGUGUAAAAGCUCCUUUAUGCUUGAAUAAUGUUGCAUGGAAUAAUAGAAUACGGCCUCGGUUCUAUUCUGUUGGUCUUAUAGAACAACAAACAAGUUGGUUAAAGCGAUCAAAAGUCUAUUCUAGGUGUGGCUUUAGAGGCCCUCGGACUUGUGCGAGUGCACCAGCUUCCGCUAUGUUGGUUGUGUUGCCUGGGGCCUUAAAAUCCCAGUGCCGCGCCGCAUACGGUUGCUCGCUCCUCGCCGACCAAGGUAGCCACUACAAGUCAUCUAAAGCACCUCCAAUAUGGCUAGCUUUCUAAUCAACUGAGGCAAUGGUUAAAAGAAAUAGUCGCGGCGGCAUCAGUACUGCAUCGUGAGAGGUGAAAUUCUUAGACCGAUGCAAGACUAACUGAAGCGAAAGCGUUUGCCGAGGAUAUUUUCAUUAAUCAAGAACGAAAGUUAGAGGUUCGAAGGCGAUCAGAUACCGCCCUAGUUCUAACCAUAAACGUUGCCAACUAGCAAUUGGGUUGCGAUUCCUUUAAUCGAAGCGUAAAACACUUCGAUCAUUAUGAUCCACCCAGCGGCUCUCGUAGGGAAACCAAAGUGUUUGGGUUCCGGGGGAAGUAUGAUUGCAAAGUUGAAACUUAAAGGAAUUGACGGAAGGGCACCACCAGGAGUGGAGCCUGCGGCUUAAUUUGACUCAACACGGGGAAACUUACUAGAUUAGAACUCUGGAAUGAUUGACAGAUUGAUAGCUCUUUCUUGAUUCAGAGGAUGGUGGUGCAUGGCCGUUCUUGAUUCGUAUUCCGAAACGUCUGCUUAAUUGCGAUAACGAGUGAGACCUCACCCAACUAACUAGUCGUUUGGUGCGCUGUGGAACGCAAAAGUUCGCAGUAGGAUCUGGUGUGUGCGGGUCUAGCAAUAGGCUUUCGUGCGCAACUGCCUGUUGCGGAUGUUCUCUGCUCGCCAGCGGACUUCUUAAAGGGAUAAACGGGGUUUUAGCCGUAAAAAACGAGGCAAUACCAGGUCUGUGAUGCCCUUAAAUACUCUAGGCCGCACGCGGGCUACAAUGGCGGGGGCAAAAAGCUUGUUCAAGGUUUGUCUAAAAAGAACUAGCUGUUUGGUUGCUAAAUAGGCAGCAAUGCUUGUUUGGAAGUCGGCGGAAAAGUGACUUUAGUUAGCAGGCCAAGAGAAACCGUAGUCAAAAGAUUACGGCAAUCAAAAAUACACGCCGGGAUUUGGAAUUGGGGAUGGCAAUUGUUGCCCAUGAACGAGGAAUUCCCAGUAAGCGCAAUUCAUCAUAUGCCGUUGAUUACGUCCCUGCCCUUUGUACACACCGCCCGUCGCUACUACCGAUUGGAAGUUUUAGUGAGGCAUUUGGACCUGCUGACCAUUGCCAAGGGCAACCUUGUCGGGCCGGCGGGGAAGUCUGUCGACCUCAAAUUUCUAGAGGAAGUAAAAGUCGUAACAGGGUUUCCGU
rnacentral:rRNA from 1 species